GACGAACGCUGGCGGCGUGCCUAAUACAUGCAAGUAGAACGCUGAAGGAGGAGCUUGCUUCUCUGGAUGAGUUGCGAACGGGUGAGUAACGCGUAGGUAACCUGCCUGGUAGCGGGGGAUAACUAUUGGAAACGAUAGCUAAUACCGCAUAACAGUAGAUAUCGCAUGAUAUCUACUUGAAAGGUGCAAUUGCAUCACUACCAGAUGGACCUGCGUUGUAUUAGCUAGUUGGUGAGGUAACGGCUCACCAAGGCGACGAUACAUAGCCGACCUGAGAGGGUGAUCGGCCACACUGGGACUGAGACACGGCCCAGACUCCUACGGGAGGCAGCAGUAGGGAAUCUUCGGCAAUGGACGGAAGUCUGACCGAGCAACGCCGCGUGAGUGAAGAAGGUUUUCGGAUCGUAAAGCUCUGUUGUAAGAGAAGAACGAGUGUGAGAGUGGAAAGUUCACACUGUGACGGUAUCGUACCAGAAAGGGACGGCUAACUACGU
rnacentral:rRNA from 1 species